UCACUGACUCGGAUAAUGUAGCGUAAUCAAUAGCCARUUAAUUGUUGGCCGGUAUGAAUGGCGUCACGAAGGCCCCACUGUCUUAAGAGGACUCUCCAUGAAAUUGAAUUCGUAGUGAAGAUGCUACGUCCAUAUUGUAAGACGAAAAGACCCCAUUGAGCUUUACUAAAGACUUGCAUGGCUCAAAAUAAUUUGACUUAAAUAAAGAGUUUAGAUAAUGUGGGACCCGUUUCUGGUUAAUGAAACACCACUCUUUUAUUUUAAGAGAGCUAACAUUACAGGGAUAGUGUAAGUUGGAUAGUUUGGUUGGGGCGACCACCUUUUAAAAGGUAACGAAGGUGAGCUUAAGGUCCGUAGUUAAUAGCCGGUGGCCUGACUGCAAGGGGGACGUCUCGAGCAGACACGUCCUUAGGGAUGUGGACUAUAGUGACCCGUCAUCUUAGUGUGGAAUAGUUGACGAUCAACGAAUAAAAGCUACCAUGGGGA
rnacentral:rRNA from 1 species